rnacentral:rRNA from 1 species
UACGGAGGAUGCGAGCGUUAUCCGGAUUUACUGGGUGUAAAGGGAGCGUAGACGGCGAUGCAAGUCUGAAGUGAAAGGCGGGGGCCCAACCCCCGGACUGCUUUGGAAACUGUAUAGCUGGAGUGCAGGAGAGGUAAGCGGAAUUCCUGGUGUAGCGGUGAAAUGCGUAGAUAUCAGGAGGAACACCAGUGGCGAAGGCGACUUACUGGACUGUAACUGACGCUGAGGCAUGAGAGCAUGGGGAGCAAACAGG